rnacentral:rRNA from 1 species
AUUGAACGCUAGCGGGAUGCUUUACACAUGCAAGUCGAACGGAGUGGCGGACGGGUGAGUAAUAUAUCGGAACGUUCCCAUUAGCGGGGGAUCACUACUCGAAAGAGUCUAUUAUACCGCAUACUCUUCGAGCCGCCUAUAUCGGAAUGGCUAGUUGGUGGGGUAAAGGCUCACCAGGGCAACGAUCCGUAGCGGGUUUGAGAGUGCGACCAGCCACACUGGGACUGAGAAACGGCCCAGACUCCUACGGGAGGCAGCAGUGGGAAAUUUUGGAAAAUGGGGGAAACCCUGAUCAAGCCAUCCCGCGUGUAUGAUGAAGGCCUUCGGGUUGUAAAGUACUUUUGGCGGAGAAGCGGUAUCUGCAGAAUAAGCACCGGCUAACUACGUGCCAGCAGCCGCGGUAAUAC